GACGAACGCUGGCGGCGUGCUUAACACAUGCAAGUCGAACGGAGCGAAUGAAAGCUUGCUUUUAUGAGCUUAGUGGCAAACGGGUGAGUAACACGUAGACAACCUGCCGACAGGAUGGGGACAACAUUCCGAAAGGAAUGCUAAUACCGAAUGAAGCGGAGGAGAGGCAUCUCUCCUCCGUGAAAGAUGGCCUCUAUUUAUAAGCUAUCACCUGUCGAUGGGUCUGCGUCUGAUUAGCUAGUUGGUGAGGUAACGGCUCACCAAGGCGACGAUCAGUAGCCGGUCUGAGAGGAUGAACGGCCACAUUGGGACUGAGACACGGCCCAGACUCCUACGGGAGGCAGCAGUGGGGAAUCUUCCGCAAUGGGCGUAAGCCUGACGGAGCAACGCCGCGUGAGUGAAGAAGGUCUUCGGAUCGUAAAGCUCUGUUGAUGGGGACGAAUGUACGGAGUGCGAAUAGUGCUCGGUAAUGACGGUACCAUCG
rnacentral:rRNA from 1 species